rnacentral:lncRNA from 1 species
UCCUUGUGUUCGCCCUCCUUGUGUUCCCCGCCGUGAUGCUGCUGCUGAUGGUGAACAUCAGUAGUGCCGACACCGGGGAUCUGCUGCUUGAUCUUGUCCACCAAGCCCUCCUUGUGUUCGCCGCCGUGAUACUGCUGCUGAUGGUGGACAUCAGUAGUGUGGUGGUCCCCACUAUGGUGCUCUCCCUUGUGCUUGUCCUCCUCCUUUUGCCCUCCUCCCAUGUGAAGGGCUUCUCCGAUCUUGUGAAUAACUCCUGACAUUUUCCCUUAAAAUGACUCUGUUCCUCUUCUUUUCUUUUCAAUGAAAAAUAGUUGUUUGCGAUCUUCUUCUGGUUGUUGUUGUUCUUGUUGGGUGAUCUUGGCUUGGUAUUUAUAGGCUCCAAAAGGAGGGACUAGAAUUAGGAUUAGAUUAUAGAUUAUUUUAAUACAUUUUAUGGCAAAUUCUGAUUUGGAAAGAUAAGAUUAUCCUUUUGGUUUUCCUUAUUUACCCUUUUGCACCCAUUACGUGUACGCGUCUUCGUGGGCUUUUUGGGUAUUUCAAUUAUAUCGCCAAUGCUAAAUCGACACGUUGCAUAUCAGCCGCGGUACUGCCGUAUGUAGUUGUCCAGAAAUCGAGUCGAUUCUCGAUCGUACAAUAAUUAAAUAAUAUUUCAUACGAAAUGAGUUUAGAUAUAUUUUGAAAAUUUAUUUUUAAUUUAAUUAUACGUGUUAUAUAUUUGUUAAUCGAAUAGAGGUCCCACGUAACAGAGUGUUUCUCUAAUCUUUCAUUGCUUUUAAUUAAUUUUACCCAAAUAAAAAAAAAAAGGAAAAUUUAGAGAGAGAGAGAGAGAUAGCGAAUUAGAAGUUGAUUGUAAUAUCGACACCUGUCAGACAAUCAAAUAUCGUUAGUUAAAAAUCAGUUGUCCAUAGUCAUGGUCAUAGAUGGCGAAAUUGAUACUUAUUUUAAAAAACAAAACAAAACAAAACGAAACGAAACUAAACUAACAGAUGUUGAAAUGCAGUUCCGUGUUAACAGUCUGUGAUGAAUCUUUAUCUUUGAGUAUACCAUUCAAGAAAUUAUCAUUCAAAAAUUUAUUUAAAGCAGCAGCAAAUCACCUUCUAAUUCCUGAAUCAAAUUAAUUCGAUUUUUUUCGAGUCGAUCAAUUCAUUAGAGAAUUAACGGGCUAAGUUAAAGUUUUGUUAGUUAUUUUUUUUUAUAUUCCUUUAGAUGAUAUGAUUGUCAUUGUCUUUCUUUCUCUGGGCAACAAUAAAUACAAGAUGUGCAAAAGCGUAGUGGAACAUAAUUCGAUUAUGGGUAAAGGGAUCAGUCCGCAUAAUGAGGAUAAAGUUUUUCUCUUUAAAAAAAUUUAACCCAAAGAAAAGGUCGUAGUUUGUAAUAGCCGACACGCAGAUAGAUCACAAAGCAUGGCGGUCCUGAUGGCAAUAACUAACUGAUAUCUUCUGCGAUGAGAGGAGAUCACGUGGUUCUGACACGUAUCGCCCCAUCAACUGAUGUUGUGGCUGCAAUCGCGGCCCAGUCUUUAGAGAGAAGAAAGAUCUGUUAUAACGGGACCUACUUUAGCAUCUAUUUACGACAAAGCCCCUAUUUACUCUACUUAGUAGUAAUAAUAGCAAGUGUCGGGCUUGGAUUCCGUGUUGCUUUAAAUAAAUAUCCGCGUAAAAAGAAAAUGCUUCUUUAAUCCCUUCCUUGUAAUUUUUCGACACGUGGAUGGUUGAAAUUAGCGUGCCGACAUCUUAGGAAUUUUAUCUUGGAGACGGGAACACUGCAGUAGGCAAUGCCAUUUUCUUCGGAUGGUGUGUGGUGACAACGCCUUGGAUUUUGACGUGCAAAGAAUUUAAAUUGAAAAAGAAAAAAAGAAAUUACCAGAAUAAGCAUAGAAGAGAUAUUUUUCUUUUUGUCCUUUUUGGAAUGGAAAAAGAGAUCAAGAGAUUGUUCCAGUAAGUAUUACACAUGUCACAGGCUUAUUCAUGCCCCAUUAUGGCAACUUUUAUGCCUCGCGGUGCCCUCGGUUCCAGCAUAAUAGCUAAGACUUCAAUUUUUCUAACAUAUUUUUGUUACAAAUAUGAACGGAGUAAAUGUAUAACUUUAAUCCUUUGAAUAAAGAAAUGGCGGUUCUCCUGCUCGUUAAUCUCACUUGAAUCCCACCCAGGCAAAAUUUCUUUAUUUUAUUUAACAACAAUUUAAAGAAAGAAACUUUUGCCAGGUUGAAUUUCAAGUGAGAUUCAUUCGUGGGAGAAGUGCCAUUUCUUUAUUCAAAAGAUUAUGGUAAUUACAACUUUCAAUUUCGACAUAAAUUAAAAUUAUAGGCUAUACAAUAAAAUUGCCCUAAAUUAGUCCUAAUCAAUUCAGAUUAUAAAUUUAGGUAUAUUUAUUAUUUUAAUAUAUUAAUGUUCUAUAUAUAUAUAUAUAUAUAUAUAUAUAUGUGUGUGUGUGUGUGUAUNNNNNNNNNNNNNNNNNNNNNNNNNNNNNNNNNNNNNNNNNNNNNNNNNNNNNNNNNNNNNNNNNNNNNNNNNNNNNNNNNNNNNNNNNNNNNNNNNNNNNNNNNNNNACAGCAGAAAAUAUUUGCUAUGGAUAAGGAGACAUGGUCCCACGUCCCACCGUCCCAAUGCAUAUUUUGUAUGUUUCCAUCUUUUCUGAAAUUUUAAUAAAUAAAGUUUUUUGACCACUUGGCCAAAGAACCUUACCCUUACACAACUUUGUGGUUGGAGUCCUGUGAUACAUGUAAGAACUUAUUUUUUUUCUUAAUUAUAAUAUUUUAGAAUAUAAUUAAGUGAAGUAGGUUUUUUUUUUAAAUAUGAGUAAAAUAGAUAUUUUUUAAAUAUUAAAGAGAGUAAAAUUUGAAUAAUAAUAUAUUAAAAUUAAUACAAACUAAUUUUAAUAAUUAUUUAAUUAUAAAUAUCAAUUAUAACAUCAUAUAAUAUCAAUUAUAAUAUCGUACAUCUCAAUUAAUUCAAUAAUAAUAAUAAUAAAUGUUUUUUGGGAUAAGUAAACAGUCGCAUGGCGACAAUAGUGGAUCUGGAUUAGAGUGAAGUGGUCCCAAGAGGCUGAGGCUGUGGCUGUGGAGUUCUAAAAGUCAAAAGCUCCACGCACUUUGUUUCAGUACCAUACACACUGAAAAAAUUUGCAUUUGCAAUGACGAAAACUUUUCACGAAAUCAAAACACCUCUAAACUAUUUUGUUAUCGAUAUUUAAUGGAGGGGUUUCCUACCUUUUUAACACUCGAUUCACGCCUUGACGCAUCUCACAGAAAACCUCAUGAUCCCAUUAAUCUUGCGUAACAUAUCUCAAAGCCAAUGCAAGUGAUCUUGUUGCCUACUUCCCUUUGACGAUUCAAAAUUGUUGAAAAUAAUUCUUUUUUUUUUUAACCUCAAGGAAGUGACAAAAUAUAAAAGAAUAUUUUCUACACAUUAAACAUCUAGAUUUUUUUUUCUUUUCUUUUUAGAGUACUUGCACAAACCGUUUCCAAGAGAGACCUUUUUUUUUUUUUUUUUUUUCCGGGCUUGGUUACUAAUUUGGUGUGAAUACUCUAUGGUGAAAAAGGAAUCACAAAGCUGUAAUCAAUUUUUUUGCAUCAUUUAGUUGUAACUUGAACAUUGGGAGGUUUAUAAAGAAUUAAAUUAAUUAUAAUGCCUCUACUAGGAAAAGUUCAGAGUAGCCCUUCACAACUUUUUAAAGGCUUAAUAAUUUUCGCUUUCUUCCUCUCAUAACAUAACAAAAAAUUAAGAGCUUUACUCGUACACGUCCUAUGGCUAUAUAGUAUUGGGUUCUCUACUUCAAUCGGCUAUCUCAAACCGAAGGUUAUUUGGACACACCAGCAGUCACGUUUGGAAACUCUCAAAUGCUUGGAUUGUAAUUCUUGUGGAUGAGAUCAUCUAAAUCUUGGGCCCAAGCCGGACAAUGGGUGGACAAAGAACCCUAAAAUACAGUAAAGCUUCUAACACCCCACUAAAACUCUUAAGAAAUCCUACCUUUUAUUUUUAUAUCUCUUUCUUUUAGAAAUUAUAGAGAAGACAUAGCAUUUUAAUUAUUUUCCCUGCCAUUGAAAAUAAAUUCUGUAAACAUAUUUUUUCAUAAUAAAAUUAUUGUUAUUAGAUAAUUUAUUUCUUCAUUGUUUCAAAAUUAUUAUAAUUUUAUCAACAAAAUUAGUUAUGUCAUAUAUUAGGAUUAAAAUUAAUUAGGAUCCAUAACUUGUAAAGACAUUUUAGUUUAAUUGAAUUCAUAUUUGUCAUUUUAUGUAAUUUUCAAUAAAAAUACGACUAUGAGUGCAAAAGUGGGAUGACAUAAUAUUAAAAGAGUGUGAAAUAAUCGGUAAUUGAAAUGGAUUGAAAUCAUAAUAGAGUAUGAAAAUCAGAAUAAAUUGUUUACUUUAGUUGUAGAAAUCAAAAUUAAAAUAAACCAUAUUAUCAUUGAUGUAUAUAUGUUUUCUUGUAAUCGAAAUGAAUUCUUAUAAGUUACUAUAAGACCCUUAUGGUGUGUUUACUAAUCAGAAAUCAGAAUGGAGUGGAAUUUGAAUAUAGAAUGGUAGGGGUAUUCGCGGAUCGGAUUUUACGGAUUGGACAUUAAUUCAUAUCCGAUCCAUAAUUUUACGGAUUAUAAAUUCUCAACACAAUCCAAAUCCAAUCUAUAUGUUUGCAGAUCGGAUGCGGAUUUGACUCAAUUCAUAUCCAAUCCACUAUUUGACGGAUUGAUUUUGGAAUUAAAAAUUUUUAAUUUUGUCCAAUCUAUGAGGUAAUUAAAUUUAAAAAUCUAAUAUAAAAAUAAUUUAUUAAAUAAAAAAUUAACGUAAAAAUAAUUUUACUACCAAUUAAAUUCAAAAUUGAACAAGAUUUAAAUAAAUUAAUUAUUUAAAUAAAACUAGAAUAAUUUAUUUAAAAUUUUUAAAUAUAACAUAUCGAAAAAAAAUUCAUUUGUUUAGAUUAAUAUAUGAAAAUUAACUAAAAUUAUGAAUUUAAAUGUUGAAAUUUGAGAGCUUGGAUGUAACAGGAAGAAAUUAAGAAACUUGAAGAACUUGAAAAGAAAGUAACAAAUUAAGCUUAACUACCUCUAAUGGUGAAGUGAAACAGUGAUGGUUUGUGCGUGCAAUGGGGUACAAAUUUGGCAUUAUAUGCCAAAAUAUUUUGUUUGGCUUUAGAAUUUUUAAUGUUUAGGAAGCUAUAUUUGUUUAUUUAAUUACUCAAAUAUUUAAUUAUUUUUUAUUUUAUGUUAUUAUUGAAUAAGAUAUAAUAUUGUGUUAAUUUAGCUAUACUUUAAUUAAUUAAUUAAUUUAUUAGUAAGUAGCAUUGCUACAUUUAUAAGUUUUAUUUUUUAUUAAAUAAAUACUUUUUUUUUUCAGAUUCACGAAUUUUUACGGAUUUACAGAAAUAAAUCCAUAUCUAAUCCAUCGACUGUGGUUUUUUAAAUUUUCAUUCCAAUCCGAUCUACCAAUCCACAAAUUAUAUUUUUACGGAUCGGACGAAUUGAGCGGAUCAAAUUGGGUUCUGAACACCCCUAGAGAAUGAGAAUCAAAAUAAAUUAUUUACUUUAGUUGUGUGAAUCGGAAUUGGAAUAAAUUGUACUGUCAUUGAUGUGUUUACUUUAUCUUGGAAUCAGAAUGAAUAAUUUCAAAUUACUAAACUGACCUUAAUUUUUUAUUGUAAUAAUAAUAGUAGUAGUAGUAGUAAUAGUAGUAAUUUUCUAUUAUUAUUAUUAUUUUCUCUCUCUUUUGUUUUUAUUUUUUUAUUUUUCUCUUCUUCUUCUCUUCCUCUUUUUUUAUUUUUCUCUAAUUCAUCGAUACUUCUUCUUCUUCUUUUUUCUUUCGUUUUUAUUUUUAAUUUUUCCCUUCUUUAUCGUUCCUUCUUCUCCGUCCAUUCUCUAUCUUCAAACUCUUUUUACUUUUUCUCUUAUUCUUCAUUACUUCUUCUCCCUUUUUUUUUUUUUUCUCUUCUUUAUUAAUUCUUCUUCUUCUGCGUCUAUUCUUCAUCUUCAAAUUAUCAAGUGAAAAAUACCCACGGUGCCUUACAAGAAGAAUUGGUUUUGUUUGCUUCAAUUAUUUUUUGUAUUUUGUACUUUUGAUUGUUUCAAAAGAGGAUAAACUUGUAAUAAUGCAAUUUAAGUAGGGAUGUUUUAGACAAUUUUGGGUAUGAGAGUCUAAUUCCCAACCCCCCACUCCCUCGUAGCAGACUCCCAUUCUUCAUUCCUAACUUGGUGUUGGACCUACUAAAAUAAAUCCCAUUCCCCUUCUUAUUUCAAGAAGCAAACACGAUUUUGAUUUCAAUUCCCCAAUCCGAAAGUAAACGCACAAAAAUUGUACCCAUAUGAGAUUGCUUAUCCUCGAGUUUUUAGAUUGAAAAAAAAAAAGGAAAAAAGAAUGGCCCCAUUAGGAAGGGAUUUUAAGUGUUAGAUAAAGCCGGUGUUAACCAUUAGAAGGUCUCCGACCUUC